UUUUGAGUUUGGAAAAACACCUGGAGAGCACCCUGUCAAGGAGUUUGAGAUGCCAUCCAGCUGGUCCUGGUGCUUGUCCUUGGUGUAGCCACUUAGGGAUCUCUAGGGUCACAGAGGGGCCACAGGCCUACUCAGACACCUGGGGUGGUUCUGGUUGGAGUUCAUUUAACAAUGUCUAUGAAGGACGUACUGUGUGCAGGGCAUCUGGACACACUAAGUGUCACUCAAUAAAUGAAGCAGACAGCCUCACUGGGCCUCCUCUCUAAUCUGAGAGUCAGUCACGCUUGACAUCAUUCCUAGGUCCCAUCUACCCUCCAUCCCGGCCGAUGCCCUCAUCCCCUUUGGGACACAUGGAGGCAGCUUGGCCCAUUGUGUGCAGGAUGCUGGAGGACAGCACCACCUCCCAAAUGCUAUUUCCUGCUGGGAACCUGGCUGGGCCAAGGGCAGGAUUGCAGGGAGCCCCUACAGUUUCCAUGCUGGACCCUGCAGCUGGCCACUCUGCACGUCAGCUUUGGUGGCUUACAUGUGGAGGGCCAUACCUACCUUCUGCCAGGCCACCUGGAGCACCUCAAGGCCAUUGAGGCCAAACAGAAAGGUGAGGGGACUGGAGUCUGAGAAGACUGUCUGUGUUGAGGUUCAUGGGCUAGAGUUCCCUUAAAGGCAGUGGAGUCCUUCCUGUCUUUGGAAAGGCACAGAAACUGUCAGGUGUGUGGGUGAAACUUUCUCCUUAUCCUGCUGCAGAGCCAGCUCCAAAGCUCCUGCCACAUCCAGAGGCAGAGCCAGAGCCAGAACCAGCCCCUGUGCUAGAGUCAUCUCCAGCUCCAGCCCCACCACCCGUGGCAGAGCUGGAGCCAGCGUCACCUGCAUCGGACCCUACAGGGCUGGAGGAAGGGCCACCAUUAACUUCAUCCCCAGUGCCAGCUCCUGAACUAAAGCCCACUGGACCCUGGGCCGUGACCGCCGAAAACCAGCUGAGGGAGGAGAAGCUGAACAUCUUGGACUUCCCUCCCCGGCUCGUGGCAGAGCAGCUGACAAGGAUGGAGGCGGAGCUGUUCAAGAAAUUGGUGCCUGCCCACUGCCUGGGCUCCAUCUGGUCCCAGCGAGACAGCAGGGACCACAAGUACCUGGCACCCACCAUCCGUGACACUGUGGCACACACGAACACCUUGGCCAACAGUGUCAUCGCUACGUGCCUCGGGGCCCUGGGCAUGACAGCGCAGGACAGGGCCAGGAUGGUGGAGCUGUGGAUUCAUGUGGCCAAGGGAGAGAUCCUACACCUUUAAGAAGUGGUGCAGGGGACAGCAGCAUGUGAGCAAGAGACUGUUCCUGAAGGGUGUCAUCCCCUCCCUCAAGAUGAUCUUCAGUUACCUGGAGCUGCUGCAUGAUGAGACAGAUUAUUAUGUGGAGGGGAAUGUGCUCAGCUGUCGGAAUGAGGAAUUCAAAUUCAUCAAGGACAUCGAGAUGGUCCAGAAGGCUGCAAAUCUGUACACCGUGCAGCCCAAUGAGCAUUUUGGUGCCUGGUUCCAGGCUGUGGAGCCCCUGAGUGAGGAGGCGAGCUACAGCCUGUCCUGUCAGCUGGAGCCACAAUACCAGUGGGCCAGAAAGAUUCGACUCUUCUUCAAAGACAAGAAGAGCCACUCAUCUUCCCGCCCAGGGCUGAACACCAGGCCCCCAAAAAAGAGCCCAGCGGUGGUGGCAGAUGACGCUCCUGAGACCAGCUGAACUACAGCAGGGACACUCAGGUACACAGGUCCACCUCUCAGAUGCUGAUGUGAAUGAAAACUUUGUGAUCCAUUUCCUGGGGUCCCUGAAGGCCACAAGGCAGUGGA
ensembl:lncRNA